ensembl:lncRNA
CUCCGUGCGGCACAGCGCCGCCCAGCGGCGGCUGCUGGAACGGCUGUCGGCGGAGCGGAGCGGGGCGCGGCGGGACGCGGCGGCGGUGGAGCGGGACGUGCGGGGGGUGCGGGCGGCGCUGCGGGGCGCCGAGCUGCGGCUGCGGGAUGCGGUGAGGGGGGGCGGUGUGGGGUGGGAAGCGGGGGGGGGCGGGACCCCAAAUGUGGGGUAUUGGGGUCAUUAUGGGAUGGGGCGGGAUGGAACCCAAACGUGGGAUGGGUGGGAGCCCAGAUGUGGGAUGGGUGGGAGCCCAAAAGUGGGACAAUGGGUCACUAUGGGAUGGGAUAUUUGGGGUCCCCAAAGGUGGGACUGAUGGGACCCCAAAUGUGGGAUGGGUGGGACCCCAUAAGUGGGGCAUUGGGUCACUAUGGGAUGGGACAGGAAGGACCCCAAAUGUGGGACUGAUGGGACCCCAAAUGUAAGAUGGGUGGGACCCCAUAAGUGGGGCAUUGAGGACACUAUGGGAUGGGAUAUUUGGGAUCCCCAAAAGUGGGAUGGGUGGGACCCCAAAUGGGAUGGAUGGGAUCCGAUAUGGGAUGGAUGGGAGCCCAAAUGUGGGGCAUUGGGGUCACUAUGGGAUGGGGCAGGAUGGACCCCAAAUGUGGGAUCGAUGGGACCCCAAAUGCGAGAUGGGUGGGAGCCCAAAUGUGGGAUGGAUGGGACCCCAAAAGUGGGACAGUGGGGUCAUUAUGGGAUGGGACAGGAUGGACCCCAAAUGUGGGACUGAUGGGACCCCAAAAGUGGGGCAUUGGGGUCAUUAUAGGGUGGGGCGGGAUGGACCCCAAAAGUGGGACUGAUGGGACCCCAAAUGUGGGAUGGAUGGGAGCCCAGAAGUGGGGCAUUGGGGUCACUAUGGGAUGGGACAGGAUGGACCCCAAAUGUGGGAUCGACGGGACCCCAAAUGUGGGAUGGAUGGGACCCCAAAGUGGGACAGUGGGGUCACUAUGGGAUGGGGUGGGAUGGACCCCAAAUGUGGGAUGGGUGGGAGCCCAGAUGUCGGACAUUGGGUCAUUAUGGGAUGGGACAGGAUGGACCCCAAAGUGGGAUGGAUGGGAGCCCAGAUGUGGGAUGGAUGGGACCCCAAAUGUGGGAAAGCUGGGACCCCAUAAAUGGGGCAUUGGGGUCACUGUGGGAUGGGACAGGAUGGACCCCAAAAGUGGGAUGGAUGGGACCCCAAAAGUGGGGCAUUGGGGUCAUUAUGGGAUGAGACAUUUGGGGUCCCCAAAAGUGGGACCGAUGGGACCCCAAAUGUGGGAUGGGUGGGACCCCAAAUGUGGGACUUUGGGUCACUAUGGGAUGGGGCAGGAUGGACCCCAAAAGUGGGACUGAUGGGACCCCAAAUGCAACGGAUGGAUGGGAGCCCAGAUGUGGGAUGGAUGGGACCCCAAAAGUGGGACAUUGGGGUCAUUAUGGGAUGGGACAGGAUGGACCCCAAAUUUGGGAUGGAUGGGACCCCGUAAAUGGGCAUCGGGGUCAUUAUGGGGUGGGGCGGGAUGGACCCCAAAUGUGGGAUGGGUGGGAGCCCAGAUGUGGGACAUUGGGUCACUGUGGGAUGGGACAGGAUGGACCCCAAAAGUGGGACUGAUGGGACCCCAAAUGUGGGAUGGAUGGGACCCCAAAAGUGGGACAAUGGGUCACUAUGGGAUGGGAUAUUUGGGGUCCCCAAAAGUAGGAUCCCAAAUGGGACCGAUGGGACCCGAAAUGGGAUGGAUGGGAGCCCAAAUGUGGGACACUGGGGUUCCUAUAGGGUAGGACAUUUGGGGUCCCUAUGGGGUGCGAUAUUUGGGGUCCCUAUGGAGUGGGACAUUUGGGGUCCCUAUAGGGUGGGAUUUUUGGGGUCCCUAUAGCGUGUGAUAUUUGGGUCCCUAUGGGGUGAGAUAUUGGGGUCCCUAUGGAGUGGGAUAUUUGGGGUCCCUAUAGGGUGGGACAUUUGGGUCCUUAUAGGGUGGGACAUUUGGGGUCCCUAUAGG